AGSAACUCAAUAUCGCGGGCUCAUGACCAUAGAUCARUGAGUUUGUGCUCAGCUUUUGAAAAAUGUCCGGUAGAGAAGGAGGCAAGAAAAAGCCACUGAAGGCUCCAAAAAAGCAGAAGGGAGAAGUGGACGAGGAAGAUAUGAAACACAAACAAAAACUUAAAGAUGAGAAGAAAGCAUUAGAACAAGCCAAAGAAAAGGCAUCACAGAAAGGACCCAUG